rnacentral:rRNA from 1 species
GAUGAACGCUAGCGACAGGCCUAACACAUGCAAGUCGAGGGGCAUCGGGGUGUAGCAAUACGCUGCCGGCGACCGGCGGAUGGGUGAGUAACGCGUAUGCAACCUGCCUUCAGCAGGGGGAUAGCCCGUUGAAAGACGGAUUAAUACCCCAUAACACAGGGGCUCCGCAUGGAGAUUAUUGUUAAAGGGAUACUUCCUUCGGGGGGUAUUCCGGCUGAAGAUGGGCAUGCGUUCCAUUAGGUAGUUGGUUGAGGUAACGGCUCACCAAGCCUGCGAUGGAUAGGGGAACUGAGAGGUUGGUCCCCCACACUGGUACUGAGACACGGACCAGACUCCUACGGGAGGCAGCAGUGAGGAAUCUUGGUCAAUGGACGGAAGUCUGAACCAGCCAUGUCGCGUGAAGGAGGACGGCCCUAAGGGUUGUAAACUUCUUUUGCAGGGGAAUAAAGUAUUCCACGAGAUGGGAUAUUGCAAGUACGCUGCGAAUAAGGAUCGGCUAACUCCGUGCC